AGUGAACGCUGGCGGUAGGCCUAACACAUGCAAGUCGAACGGCAGCACAGUAAGGGCUUGCUCUUACGGGUGGCGAGUGGCGGACGGGUGAGGAAUACAUCGGAAUCUACUUUUUCGUGGGGGAUAACGUAGGGAAACUUACGCUAAUACCGCAUACGACCUACGGGUGAAAGCAGGGGAUCUUCGGACCUUGCGCGAUUGAAUGAGCCGAUGUCGGAUUAGCUAGUUGGCGGGGUAAAGGCCCACCAAGGCGACGAUCCGUAGCUGGUCUGAGAGGAUGAUCAGCCACACUGGAACUGAGACACGGUCCAGACUCCUACGGGAGGCAGCAGUGGGGAAUAUUGGACAAUGGGCGCAAGCCUGAUCCAGCCAUACCGCGUGGGUGAAGAAGGCCUUCGGGUUGUAAAGCCCUUUUGUUGGGAAAGAAAAGCAGCAGGUUAAUACCCCGCUGUCCUGACGGUACCCAAAGAAUAAGCACCGGCUAACUUCGU
rnacentral:rRNA from 1 species